GCGUCAAUGGGGUAACGGUAACCCGGGUCGUCAAAUUUACAUGCCGUGUUGUAAGAGCCGUCGCUCAAUUUAGACUCGCUGGGGGUUCGACUCCCUCUUGAUGCA
rfam:Stereum hirsutum FP-91666 SS1 unplaced genomic scaffold STEHIscaffold_4, whole genome shotgun sequence.